rnacentral:rRNA from 1 species
AGCAGCCGCGGUAAUUCCAGCUCCAAUGGCGUAUAUUAAAGUUGCUGCAGUUAAAAAGCUCGUAGUUGAAUUUCGGGACCAUCAUGUCGGUCGUGCCUCGGUACGUACUGGCAUUGUUGGUUUCUACCUUCUGACGAACCAUGAUGUCAUUUAUUUGGUGUCGUGGGAAAUCAGGACUGUUACUUUGAAAAAAUUAGAGUGUUUAAGCAGGCUCACGCUUGAAUACAUUAGCAUGGAAUAAUGAAAUAGGACGUUUGAUUCUAUUUUGUUGGUUUCUAGGAUUGACGUAAUGAUUAAUAGGGAUAGUUGGGGGCAUUAGUAUUCAAUUGUCAGAGGUGAAAUUCUUGGAUUUAUUGAAGACUAACUACUGCGAAAGCAUUUGCCAAGGAUGUUUUCAUUAAUCAAGAACGAAAGUUAGGGGAUCGAAGACGAUCAGAUACCGUCGUAGUCUUAACCAUAAACUAUGCCGACUAGGGAUCGGAUGAUGUUAAUUUUUUUAAUGACUCAUUCGGCGCCUUAC